UACAGAGGUGCCAAGCGUUAGGCGGAAUCACUGGGCUUAAAGCGUGUGUAGGCGGGCGAUCAAGUACCUCGUGAAAUCCCACGGCUCAACCGUGGAACUGCUGGGUAUACUGGUUGUCUUGAGCCAGCUAGGGGCGAGCGGAACAGACGGUGGAGCGGUGAAAUGCGUAGAUAUCGUCUGGAACGCCGAAGGUGAAAACAGCUCGCUGGGGCUGCGCUGACGCUGAGACACGAAAGCCAGGGGAGCGAACGGG
rnacentral:rRNA from 1 species